rnacentral:rRNA from 1 species
AGUGAACGCUGGCGAUAGGCCUAACACAUGCAGGUCGAACGGCAGCACAGUAAGAGCUUGCUCUUACGGGUGGCGAGUGGCGGACGGGUGAGGAAUACAUCGGAAUCUACUUUUUCGUGGGGGAUAACGUAGGGAAACUUACGCUAAUACCGCAUACGACCUACGGGUGAAGGCAGGGGAUCUUCGGACCUUGCGCGAUUGAAUGAGCCGAUGUCGGAUUAGCUAGUUGGCGGGGUAAAGGCCCACAAAGGCGACGAUCCGUAGCUGGUCUGAGAGGAUGAUCAGCCACACUGGAACUGAGACACGGUCCAGACUCCUACGGGAGGCAGCAGUGGGGAAUAUUGGACAAUGGGCGCAAGCCUGAUCCAGCCAUACCGCGUGGGUGAAGAAGGCCUUCGGGUUGUAAAGCCCUUUUGUUGGGAAAGAAAAGCAGCAGGUUAAUACCCCGCUGUUCUGACGGUACCCAAAGAAUAAGCACCGGCUAACUUCGUG